GCAAUUUUAUUUUUUAUGACAAAAUUCUGAGUCUGUUAUAUUAUCCAAAUCCUAAAAAGAUUUAAUUGAUUACAGAAAAAUUUAUUGGGAAAAAUUGCUUUGCCCCUCUUUUUUCUCUAAGCAAUUCCUGAGUUUUAAAAAUACUCCUUAAAGGAACUAAUUUAUUUUUCAUGGCCCAUCACCAAUAUCCAAGAGAGUAUCCAAUUUUUAAAUUCUGAACCCUGUCUUGUGUGACUUUCAAACUAAAUGAAAUGAAGAGGCCUCAGGCAGUCUGUGUUUACACAGGGUGGCAAAAUUAACCUUAAGUUACUUGGAUCACUGCACUGGGGACACUUCAGAGCCUCUACUCAGGCUACUUUUGAGCAUACUAUGUAUGUCGCUGUGCAGAAGCCUACCUCUUUCACUCUAGAUAAAACAAGACUUUCUGAGCACUUACUCUGAGCAAAGCACGGUGCCGCAAGUACAAAGGUGGAUAAGACUCAGUCCUUGAUUUGAUGGUCUUUGUUGGAAUAGGUUUUCAAACUGUAAUGUCACUGUGUCUCCCAGGGGCCAAAAGUUUGCUUUCAUUGAUGGGUUUCAAAGUAGGGAUGAGUUUACUUAUAAGUACACAUUGUGUCAUUAGUAUGCUUGACUCUCCAUGGUGCAAAAUUUCUUUCUAAUGCUGAUCAAUUGCAAACAUGAUAGAACAAUGAAAUACUUCCAGGACAUUCUAAAUCACUCUCCUCCUUGUGAGAAAAUAGGGUAGAGAGCCUAGCCUGGUACAGGCAGCCAUCCAUGUCUGAUGUGGGUCAUCUCUGAGAAUGACACUCCUCAAAGGGCCAGAGGGUGCUCUUUCUUCAUUUCCCUUACACAUGGGUGUUAUUCAAUACUUAUCUAGAGCCAUGUGUCACUUAACAACUGGAAUAUGUUCCAAGAAAUCUGUCAUUAGGCUAUUUUGUUAUUGUGUGAUCACAGAGUGUACUUACACAAACCUAGGGUGGUAUAGUUCACUGUACCACCAAGGCCAUAUAGUGUAGCCUAGGCUACAAUAUACCUAGGCUAUAUAGUAUAGCCUGUAGCUCCUAGGCUACAAACCUGGACAGCAUGUUACUGCACUGAGUACUGUAGCAAUUGUUACACAGUGGUAACUAUUUGUGUAUCUAAACAUAUCUAAACAUAGAAAAGAUACAGUAAAAAUACAGCAGUAUAAUCUUAUGGGACCACCGUUGUAUAUGUGGUCCAUCGUUGAUGGAAACAUUGUUAUGUGGCACAUGACUGUAUAUGCUUCGUAUAUAGUGAACAUUCAGCAAAGGUUUUCAUCAAUGAAUGGAUAAAUUGGCAACUUUUAUGGGCUUAAUUGGGCUAAAAUAUAUACGGAGUCACUAUUUGACUUAACACCUAGACAUUAUUUUACUGAUAUUUUUCAAUAAUUCUGUUUUUGUAAAGCCUUCCUUCCAUUUGGGUGCAAUUUCCACUUGGGGAAAAUCUCAUUCCCCAUCCUCUUGUAAUUAAAAAGCAUGGUUUGUUUGUUUUUUUAGAUUAUUUCAAAAUGUUCUCCUCUACUAAUCCCAAAGCUUGCUAGCUUGCAUGACUCUAUGUGACAACAUAAUUGGGACAUCAGAACACAUGUGGCUUUUAUAAUUCAGAUGAAAUGAGAUUGAGGCAGAUUCAGUUAGCCUAGAGAUACUAAACCUCAAAGGACCAUUUUAACAAGAGUGUCCUAUGCUAAUAUUUUGCACCAGCGGGAGGGGUUCUAAGAAUUAUAGGUGAAUGUCCAAG
rnacentral:lncRNA from 10 species